rnacentral:rRNA from 1 species
GCAGUCGAGCGGUAACAGGGGUAGCUUGCUACCCGCUGACGAGCGGCGGACGGGUGAGUAAUGCAUGGGUAUCUGCCCGGUAGUGGGGGAUAACUCGGGGAAACCCGAGCUAAUACCGCAUACGUCCUACGGGAGAAAGCAGGGGAUCUUCGGACCUUGCGCUAUCGGAUGAGCCCAUGUCGGAUUAGCUUGUUGGUGAGGUAACGGCUCACCAAGGCGACGAUCCGUAGCUGGUCUGAGAGGAUGAUCAGCCACACCGGGACUGAGACACGGCCCGGACUCCUACGGGAGGCAGCAGUGGGGAAUAUUGGACAAUGGGGGAAACCCUGAUCCAGCCAUGCCGCGUGUGUGAAGAAGGCCUUCGGGUUGUAAAGCACUUUCAGUGGGGAAGAAGGCAUGAUGAUUAAUACUCGUCAUGAAGGACAUCACCCACAGAAGAAGCACCGGCUAACUCCGUGCCAGCAGCCGCGGUAAUACGGAGGGUGCAAGCGUUAAUCGGAAUUACUGGGCGUAAAGGGCGCGUAGGCGGCUUGCCAAGCCGGAUGUGAAAGCCCCGGGCUCAACCCGGGAACGGCAUUCGGAACUGGUAGGCUAGAGUGCAGGAGAGGAAGGUGGAAUUCCCGGUGUAGCGGUGAAAUGCGUAGAGAUCGGGAGGAAUACCAGUGGCGAAGGCGGCCUUCUGGACUGACACUGACGCUGAGGCGCGAAAGCGUGGGUAGCAAACAGGAUUAGAUACCCUGGUAGUCCACGCCGUAAACGAUGUCGACCAGCCGUUGGACCCCUUGAGGGUUUGGUGGCGCAGUUAACGCAAUAAGUCGACCGCCUGGGGAGUACGGCCGCAAGGCUAAAACUCAAA